AGUAACAUGAUGGACGCAGACGGAACGGAACAUUUUCUCUCGUGUUUUUCUCACAUUUCUGAGAUGUCAUGACCUGCUUUUACGACCCCACAGCUGAGUUCGUGUUACUUGUCGUGUGUCGAUGCUCGUGGACAUUUUCUGUCGGGACUAUUAACUAUUAACGCCCGUGAAAAUAUUGACAGAGAAAAGAGGAACCAAGCCUUGCUGAAGAGACUGAGGAACCCAUCACCACAGAACCAGAACCAAAGGAGGAGUCUGAGGCACAGCGGACCUCCCCUGAACCUGAACCUGAACCUGAACCUGUGAAGACCACUGAGCCAGAGCCUGAGUCUGAGCCAGAACCAGAGCCAGAGCCCGAAUUAGAAGA